AUGGCGCUAACCAGAUCAAUGGUUUUGCUCCUGACGUACGCCGCACUCGCAGCGGCGACGAUGCGACGACCGGAAGAGAGGACACAGGCGGUCAAGGCGCCAUCAGUGCCAUACCUCGCCGGAGGCCAAGAAGCCGAAGCCGAAGCGGUAGCGGCUACCUCCUCGCCGGCCUCACCAAUCACCGACGUCGAGGUCUUCAUCCCGGCACCGCCGCCUCUGCCUGGCAUGCCCGCGUUACCGCCGUUGCCCGGCUCCCCGGGCAUGGCAGGCGCGCCAUCGCCUUCGCAGCAGCCGGCCAGUUGCUUGGGAGCGCUCGGGCGUGUGAUAACAUGCGCGCCGUACCUCACCGACUCCGUACCCGUGCCGCCGAGUACAUGCUGCGACGGCUUCAGGUCGCUCGUCGGCAGCAGCGCCCGGAUCUGCUUGUGCCAUGCCAUCAUCGGCAACUUGAGUACAUUGGCCGGGGGGGAGAUCGACCAGCUUCGCUUGCUCGUGCUGCCUCUGACGUGUAGCACGUUCGUGCCCCCGGACUUGCUUCUCAUGUGCAUCCUGUCUCCGGUGCCGCCGAUUAUGCCUCAGCACUACCGCGCCGGUGUCGGAGAAAGGCUCGGUGCUCUCGGCGGCUAG
rnacentral:rRNA from 1 species